UACAGAGGUCUCCAGCGUUGUUCGGAUUCCUUGGGCGUAAAGGGUGCGUAGGCGGUGUCGUAAGUCGGAUGUGAAAUCCCGGGGCUUAACUUCGGAACUGCAUUCGAUACUGCGAUACUCGAGGACUCGAGAGGAGAUUGGAAUUCACGGUGUAGCAGUGAAAUGCGUAGAUAUCGUGAGGAAGACCAGUGGCGAAGGCGGAUCUCUGGAGAGUUCCUGACGCUGAGGCACGAAGGCCAGGGGAGCAAACGGG
rnacentral:rRNA from 1 species